CCAUUGGUGCACACCCUCUGAAUGCACCAAAUCUUUUUUGAUCUUGGAAGCUAAGCAGAGUUGGGCCUGGCUAGCACUUGAAUAGU
rnacentral:rRNA from 1 species